rnacentral:rRNA from 1 species
UGAAACUGCGAAUGGCUCAUUAAAUCAGUUAUAGUUUAUUUGAUAGUACAAUUACUACUUGGAUAACCGUGGUAAUUCUAGAGCUAAUACAUGCUAAAAGUCCCGACUUCUGGAAGGGACGUAUUUAUUAGAUAAAAACCAACAGCUGCCCUUCGGG